rnacentral:lncRNA from 1 species
GUACUGCCUGGCAUGUGUGGGGUGCUUAGUAAACAGUUGUGGAAGGAAGCGAGGAGGCGGGGCUAUCCCCACACCUGAUCCUUUCGUGUCUGCUCCAUAGGAUUCUAAGGGAUUGGAAGGGGGGCUUGAGGUCUUGGGGUCCGGCAUCCCUCUGGAGGUGGCGGUUCCUUCUGUAGCAUCCUCUCCUUACCGCCGUUGGGCCAUUUCCAUCGAGAGCUCCACACCUUACGACAUGCCCUGUGCAUCUCUCGGCAAUGCCUUUCUUAGAGCGAGCCUGAGCUCGCUCUAAGAAAGCUUCACUGCCACAGUCAGCUUCACUGACUGGUCUCAAUUCUGCCCCCUAGACCUGCUGAGAGCAAGACUCAUGAUGGCCCUCUCUGUAAUUGAGGAUGGCUCUCAGACCUCUUCCCUAAGAUGAGACCCCCCCCCCCAUCUCUGGACAUUCCUUCCGCGGCAUGGUCUCAAGGAGCGUCACUUUCCUCUCCUUAUCUCAGAAACCUGAAAAAUCUCAGGAGUGUCCUUCAGUACCCCUGAAAUGAUUUGUGAUGUUUUCUGCAGGUGCACAGUUUUGGGGUACAGAGGAGAUCUGUAGGUUUCAUCAGCUUCUCAAAGGACCCCUGGACCUAGAGUGGUCCAGAAGCUUCCAGAAGCCGUAAUGUGUCUACCCUGUCUCUCCGUGCCAGAUGAGAGUUGCUUUGGCUCAGGACGAGGUCGUGCCUCGGAGGGUCCCCACGGAGCAGCGUGGUCCUCCCAGGACCUCACCUCCUGGGCCGUUCCUGAUGGCGCCUUCACUGUGAGGGACUGCUUUUCUGGAUCGUGUUCAGAGCCUGGGCCACAGCUGGGGGCACGACUUCUUCGGCCAGGGCCCCUGUCUCUUCGUCACCCUGCAGCAUUCACCCUGCCCGCACACAGCGCCCGGCGAGCCUUCCUGAUGCCAAGCCACGGGGUGGCCCCUGCCCACACACCUGCCUCCGUCCCUUCCCCCUGCACCCACCUUGCCGGAACCUUCCCACUGGCAGCUGAAGGUGCCUCUGUCCCACAUCUUUGUCUUUCCCGAAGUGGGACCUUCUCCGGCCCCGGCCUUGAGGCUGAGACAGCUGUUAGGGGACAGGAUUUGAGGAGAGGAAGAAAUGAGAACACUUCUUCCCUACCCAGCGCGAGAACCGAGCCUGCACCCCUAGACUGAGAGCUCCCCAAGGUCGAGCCCUUGGCUCCUGACGUCAGGGUCUGGUCUGUGGUGGGCGUGUGGUGAGGAAGUAGGAAGGUAUGUGUGAACCAGCAGCCGUCCUCAGGUGGGGGGAGGGGGGGUGGGUACCUGAUUGACCCAGAGCUGCCACACCCUGAUGUUUGCAGAACUGCAUGGAAUGAAUGUUUGUUGUUGUUUGAGAGAGAGAGAGAGAGAGAGAGAGAGAGAGAGCACGAGCAGGGGAGGGGCAGAGAGAGAGGGAGACACAGAAUCCGAAGCAGGCUCCAGGCUCCGAGCUGUCAGCCCAGAGCCCGACGCGGGACUCGAACCCACGGACCGCGAGAUCAUGACCCGAGCCGAGGUCGGAUGCUCAACCGACUGAGCCACCCAGGCGCCCCCAUAUCUGCGUCAAAUGAAAACACAAACUAGUUCCCACGGGGGCCGUGAGAAACACUCCUUGAGAAACACUGUUCUCUACUUUUCUGCGAAGCCCCGAAUGACACUCAUUUCACACGAUGCUAGUAUUUGGAUUAUCGUGAUAAACCACGGAGAUCAAAUUUGCGAAGUCAAUCCAGAAAUGCUCUUUAUGACAGGAAGUGCUGGUUACCUUGAGGCAUGUUGGAGGUCAGGGCCACUAAAAGGCAGUUGGGGGAGAAUCCUGUGUGUGUCUGGAGUUAAUGGGGGAAAGAAGAGGUGUGGGGGUGGAUGGCUGGUCUGUGCGGGUCCACGUGCUCCCCUGGGUUUCUAGGACAGUGUGACAGGGUGGCCAGCCCCACGGCCACGAGGGCCGUCUCUCAGAGCUGUGGCCUGGGGAACACUGACCGACCCUGCUCUUCUUCUAGGGAGGCAUCAAACCACCCCCCCAGCUGAGCCCUGGCCAGGAGAUGACGGACAUUGGUGAGGAUAUCGGAGCGGAAGAAACAAGGACAGUUGUAAGACUGACCAUGGCCCUCAGCGUGACCUGAAACAGAAUCCACCCGGCUAGGCUCAUUGCCCUCUG